GACGAACGCUGGCGGCGUGCUUAACACAUGCAAGUCGAACGGAAAGGCCCUGCUUUUGUGGGGUGCUCGAGUGGCGAACGGGUGCGUAACACGUGAGUAACCUGACCUUGACUUUGGGAUAACUUCAGGAAACUGGGGCUAAUACCGGAUAGGAGCUCCUGCUGCAUGGUGGGGGUUGGAAAGUUUCGGCGGUUGGGGAUGGACUCGCGGCUUAUCAGCUUGUUGGUGGGGUAGUGGCUUACCAAGGCUUUGACGGGUAGCCGGCCUGAGAGGGUGACCGGCCACAUUGGGACUGAGAUACGGCCCAGACUCCUACGGUAGGCAGCAGUGGGGAAUAUUGCACAAUGGUCGGAAGCCUGAUGCAGCAACGCCGCGUGCGGGAUGACGGCCUUCGGGUUGUAAACCGCUUUCGCCUGUGACGAAGCGUGAGUGACGGUAAUGAGUAAAGAAGCACCGGCUAACUACGUG
rnacentral:rRNA from 1 species